rnacentral:ncRNA from 2 species
CGAACUUAAACCGUAAACUCUCGUAUAUUUUCGGGAAUAAGGCCCGAAAGUUUCUACCUAAUGACCGAGAAUCAUUUGGCUACGAGAGAGAAAGGGUAUCUA